ACGGGUGAGUAACACGUGGUCAACCUUCCCUACAGUGGGGGAUAACUAGCCGAAAGGUUAGCUAAUACCGCAUAACAUCUACGAGUGGCAUCAUUUGUAGAUCAAAGGAGCAAUCCGCUGAAGGACGGGACCGCGUCCCAUUAGUUAGUUGGUGGGGUAACGGCCUACCAAGACUCCGAUGGGUAGCUGGUUUGAGAGAGCGACCAGCCACACUGGGACUGAGAAACGGCCCAG
rnacentral:rRNA from 1 species